GCCGACGUGCUUAUCGGUCAGCCAGAAAUGAAUCAAGCAAACUGCUGCCUCCCCAUUAGCAGCAAAGGCAUUGUCCGUUGCACCUGUCAGCAAGACCACCAUGGACGAUCUCCC
rnacentral:lncRNA from 1 species